rnacentral:rRNA from 1 species
CGGGGUGAGUAACGCGUGAGGAACCUGCCUCGAAGAGGGGGACAACAGUUGGAAACGACUGCUAAUACCGCAUAAGCCCACGGCUCGGCAUCGAGCAGAGGGAAAAGGAGUGAUCCGCUUUGAGAUGGCCUCGCGUCCGAUUAGCUAGUUGGUGAGGUAACGGCCCACCAAGGCGACGAUCGGUAGCCGGACUGAGAGGUUGAACGGCCACAUUGGGACUGAGACACGGCCCAG